GGAGGGUGGGACCCCCUGGCAAAAGACGGGGUCCCCUCUUCCCCAAGCGGCAAGCCAUCCCCCUUCCUCCCUUCCCUCCCCCCAGUCUCGGAGAUCAGAGAAGCACCGACUGGGAGCCUGCACCCCCUGGACAUCUUGACUCCAUCCUUCAGCAUCCUUUCCCUCACUGUAUCCUGACUGCUUGGACCAUCCUCCUCUCCAGCCUCCACUGAACAACAGAUUGGGAAGGGGAAUUUCACAAGGUUUGAGCGGCAGAGAUGUCCUAGGGUAGGUGGAAGGCCUGGCAGCCCCGGGAUGAACUUGCCCCUAGCCCAGCCCUCUG
ensembl:lncRNA